rnacentral:rRNA from 1 species
CGUCGCUCGUCAGAGUUUGAUCCUGGCUCAGGACGAACGCUGGCGGCGUGCUUAACACAUGCAAGUCGAACGUGAUUUUUGUGGAAGUUCCUUCGGGGAUGGAAGCAAAAUGAAAGUGGCGAACGGGUGAGUAACACGUGAGCAACCUACCUUACACAGGGGGAUAGCCGUUGGAAACGACGAUUAAUACCGCAUGAGACCACUAUGUUGCAUGACAAAGAGGUAAAAGAUUUAUCGGUGUAAGAUGGGCUCGCGUCUGAUUAGCUAGUUGGAAGGGUAAAGGCCUACCAAGGCAACGAUCAGUAGCCGGUCUGAGAGGAUGAACGGCCACACUGGAACUGAGACACGGUCCAG